GCAGACACAUUCCAGCCAAUCAGCAGCAGACCCUCCCUCCCAGACCCUCCCACUUCCUGGACAGCAUCCAUUUUACAUUCAUUGUGAAGCUGCAUUCUUAGUGAGCUGUCCAGGAGGUGGGAGGGUCUGGGAGGGAGGGUCUGCUGCUGAUUGGCUGGAAUGCGUGUG
rnacentral:miRNA from 1 species